rnacentral:rRNA from 1 species
GGGUCAGUAGGUUGGUCGUGCCACCGGUACGUACUGGUCUCACUGAUUCCUCCUUCCUGAAGAACCGUAAUGCCAUUAAUUUGGUGUUGCGGGGAAACAGGACUGUUACUUUGAAAAAAUUAGAGUGUUUAACGCAAGCUAACGCUUGAAUACUUUAGCAUGGAAUAACGAAAUAGGACGAUCGAUCCUAUUUUGUUGGUUUCUAGGAUUGACGUA